rnacentral:rRNA from 1 species
GACGAACGCUGGCGGCGUGCCUAAUACAUGCAAGUAGGACGCAGUUGCGAACGGGUGAGUAACGCGUAGGUAACUGGCGCUUAGAGGGGGAUAACUAUUGGAAACGAUAGCUAAUACCGCCUAGUAGUAGAUGGACCUGCGUUGUAUUAGCUAGUCGGUAGGGUAAUGGCCUACCUAGGCGACGAUACAUAGCCGACCCUCGAAGGUGAUCCGCCAACCUGGGACUGAGUAAAGGCCCAGACUUCUACGGGAGGCAGCAGUAGGGAAUCAUCGGACAUGGGGGGAAACCCGACCGAGCAACGCCGGCUGAGUGAAGAAGGUUUUCGGAUCGUAAAGCUCUGUUGUUAAGGAAGCGUUACUUAACCAGAAAGGGACGGCUAACUACGUGCCAGCAGCCGCGGUAAUAC